rnacentral:rRNA from 1 species
CGAAGGGUGCAAGCGUUACUCGGAAUUACUGGGCGUAAAGCGUGCGUAGGUGGUUCGUUAAGUCUGCCGUGAAAGCCCCGGGCUCAACCUGGGAAUGGCGGUGGAUACUGGCGGACUAGAGUGCGGUAGAGGGUGGUGGAAUUCCCGGUGUAGCAGUGAAAUGCGUAGAGAUCGGGAGGAACAUCUGUGGCGAAGGCGGCCACCUGGACCAGCACUGACACUGAGGCACGAAAGCGUGGGGAGCAAACAGGAUUAGAUACCCUGGUAGUCCACGCCCUAAACGAUGCGAACUGGACGUUGGGAGCAACUAGGCUCUCAGUGUCGAAGCUAACGCGUUAAGUUCGCCGCCUGGGGAGUACGGUCGCAAGACUG